UACAGAGGUGGCAAGCGUUGUUCGGAAUUACUGGGCGUAAAGGGCGCGUAGGCGGCCUUCUAAGUCGGACGUGAAAGCCCCAGGCUUAACCUGGGAACUGCGUCCGAUACUGGGAGGCUUGGAUUCGGGAGAGGGAUGUGGAAUUCCAGGUGUAGCGGUGAAAUGCGUAGAUAUCUGGAGGAAUACCGGUGGCGAAGGCGGCAUCCUGGACCGACAUUGACGCUGAACGGCGAAAGCCAGGGGAGCAAACGGG
rnacentral:rRNA from 1 species